rnacentral:rRNA from 1 species
CGAACGGGUGAGUAACGCGUGAGGAACCUGCCUCAAAGAGGGGGACAACAGUUGGAAACGACUGCUAAUACCGCAUAAGCCCACGGCUCGGCAUCGAGCAGAGGGAAAAGGAGCAAUCCGCUUUGAGAUGGCCUCGCGUCCGAUUAGCUAGUUGGUGAGGUAACGGCCCACCAAGGCGACGAUCGGUAGCCGGACUGAGAGGUUGAACGGCCACAUUGGAACUGAGACACGGUCCAA